AAGAAAUUUCACGUCUUACUUUUACUUCGAAAGAAGCUUCGUUGGCGAACCCAUUUUUACAAGUUUUCAACACAGCGGAUACAUUCUAAACAGAAUACGCGAGUCGAUUUCAUCACUCAUGUUAGAGAACGGGAAUGAAUUUUCAGACUCAAGGUUUAACGUUCGAGCCAAAGCCAAAGUAAACGAGUUUUCUGCGUAUACAUGGUAUCGUCGUUCCGCUCCCUUUUGAAAAGAAAAUCCGAGAACCGAAUGGCGGCGUAAUGGAAAAAAUCACACGAGUGUAGACGGUGUACCUAACGAAAAGGCAGAAUUGCCCACGAUUUCUGAAAAUAAAAUGACGAAGAAUUCAAAAUGUUGAGAAGAAUCGCUUCAAAAAUUUCGUUGUUAUUCCAAAUUGAAAAACACGAGCAAUUAUUCAGCACCGAAAGACGGUCGAUCUUUCGGGGAAAUAAAUUAUAAGCAAUCCGUAGAUAAUAUACACGAUUUUUAUUAUACACGCAUAAAAUUUUCAGUUAAUGAAAUAAAACUAUAAACAAAACGUUCACAAUUAGACAAACAACAACGACGAGUGAAGUAGGUACAGGUAGGCAGUGCGCAACUCGCACGAACGUACCAGUUUUCAAGAGUAAUUCAUUCGACCAACGCGAACGGGGAAUCGAAUUUCGGUUACGAUAAUUCCGACGAUUCGCAUAGGUAUGUACUUAAAAUUCAGCAUCGAUCGAGAUAACGAGAUACAAAAUGCAUUAAACGGUCACUUUUCGAGCUCGGUAUCGCCGCCGCUUUCUCUACACAUUUCUUGAUCGGGCGCAUCGUUUGAUUCGAUACAAAGUGUAAAAUCGCUACUAGCGUCAUCCUGCGCGAUAUCUUUGGUUUCACGGAUGUCCGGUGUUUUCGGUUCGUCCUUUCGGACGUCGCCGGCGUCAAUCUUCUUUACGUCUUUAUCGUUAGCUCUUCUCGGAAUUAAAAUGUUGACCGGUUUGGAACACGACGGGCUCGCAGUUAUUUUACUGUCGUGUUUGGCGACGUUAGCUCGUCUAGGCGUAAGAACGUUGACUGGUUUAAGAUUUUCCGAAUUUUUCACAUCUUUAGCG